UCAGCUAUUCUUCAAGCUCCCAAGGUUUGGCUCCGGGUUGUAAAAUAAUAUUAAGUUCUGACAGUGUAAGAAGUGUGCCCGGAAAAAAAAUAACCAGAGCAGGAAGGAGAAGAAAAGCAUUAGAAGGGUGCAGAUGGGUUUUGCAGCUGGGAGCCCAAGUUUCCUUCACACAAAGGUCACCAGCUCUUCACUGUGAAUAAACUCAUGUU
rnacentral:lncRNA from 1 species